UUGCCUAUUUUGCAAUCACAUUUCCUUUGC
rnacentral:piRNA from 1 species